UACGUAGGUGGCAAGCGUUGUCCGGAUUUAUUGGGCGUAAAGGGAACGCAGGCGGUCUUUUAAGUCUGAUGUGAAAGCCCACGGCUUAACCGUGGAGGGUCAUUGGAAACUGGAGGACUUGAGUGCAGAAGAGGAGAGUGGAAUUCCAUGUGGAGCGGUGAAAUGCGUAGAGAUAUGGAGGAACACCAGUGGCGAAGGCGACUCUCUGGUCUGUAACUGACGCUGAGGCGCGAAAGCGUGGGGAGCGAACAGG
rnacentral:rRNA from 1 species